rnacentral:ncRNA from 2 species
GAAAACGGAUAAAUGUAUACUUAUAUAAGUUCGUAAUUGGACGGACGUUUCUACCAACUACCGUAAUAGUUGACUAUAAGUUCCCGUGUCAGAGCG